rnacentral:ncRNA from 1 species
CACAAAGGCUUGGUCCUGACCUUAAAAUCAACUACCACUUAACAUAUACAUGCAAGUCUCCGCAUCCCUGUGAGAAAGCCCCCUAGACCCUUAUGAGUUUAGGGGUGCAGGUAUCAGGCUCACCUAGCCCAAGACACCUAGCUUUGCCACACCCACAAGGGUACUCAGCAGUAAUUAAUAUUGAAUCAUGAGCAUCAGCUCGAUUCAGUCAAAGUAUUUAGGGCCGGCAAAUCUGGUGCCAGCAGCCGCGGCUAAACCAUUGAGCCCAAGUUGAUUUCCAUCGGCGUAAAGCGUGGUUAAAGUCACCCCUAAACUAGAGCUAAACAAAGAUCUUCACAGUCAAAUAUUUAUCUUUUAAGAAACCCAUAAAACGAAAGUUGCUCUACCCAUCUCUCUUGAACCCACGAAAGCUAGGACAUAAACUGGGAUUUGAUACCCCAUUAUACCUUGCCGUAAACUUUUAUUUACACCCUCCCCCAUCGCCAGGGAACUACGAGCGAAGCUUAAAACCCAAAGGACUUGACGGUGCCCAUAUCCCACUAGAGGAGCCUGUCCUUAAUCGAUGAUCCCCGUUUAACCUCACCACUUCUAGCCCAUCAGCCUGUAUAUUUCCGUCGUAAAUUAACCACAUGAGUGAGACUUAGUUAGUGCAAAGACUUACAAAGAACCCCCCCCGUCAACACGUCAGGUCAAAAUGCAGCUAAUGAAGUGGGAAAAGAUUGGCUACACUUUUUAUUAUAAAAGAAAACGAAAGACAAUAAUGAAACUUUGUCAGAAGGUGGAUUUAGCAGUAAAAAGAGUUCAUUAUACUCAUUUGAAUCUGGCACUGGAGCGUGUACAAACCGCCCGUCACCCUCUUCGACAAACCCAUACUAGUACUUAACAAGCUAUUUAUUACCAGAGAAGAGGUAAGUCGUAACAUGGUAAGUAUACCGGAAGGUGUACUUGGAAA